GACGAACGCUGGCGGCGUGCUUAACACAUGCAAGUCGAACGGUGAAGCGAGUGCUUGCACUCGUGGAUCAGUGGCGAACGGGUGAGUAACACGUGAGUAACCUGCCCAUCACUCUGGGAUAAGCACUGGAAACGGUGUCUAAUACUGGAUACGACCAACCCUUGCAUGGGGUGUUGGUGGAAAGAUUUAUCGGUGAUGGAUGGACUCGCGGCCUAUCAGCUUGUUGGCGGGGUAAUGGCCCACCAAGGCGACGACGGGUAGCCGGCCUGAGAGGGUGACCGGCCACACUGGGACUGAGACACGGCCCAGGCUCCUACGGGAGGCAGCAGUGGGGAAUAUUGCACAAUGGGCGAAAGCCUGAUGCAGCGACGCCGCGUGAGGGAUGACGGCCUUCGGGUUGUAAACCUCUUUCAGCAGGGAAGAAGCGAAAGUGACGGUACCUGCAGAAGAAGCACCGGCUAACUACGUG
rnacentral:rRNA from 1 species